UCGGGAAUUUUGGGCAAUGGGCGAAAGCCUGACCCAGCAACGCCGCGUGAGGGAUGAAGUAUUUCGGUAUGUAAACCUCGAAAGAAUGGGAAGAAUAAAUGACGGUACCAUUUAUAAGCUCCGGCUAACUACGUGCCAGCAGCCGCGGUAAUACGUAGGGAGCAAGCGUUGUUCGGAUUUACUGGGCGUAAAGGGCGCGUAGGCGGCGCGGUAAGUCACUUGUGAAAUCUCUGAGCCUAACUCAGAACGGCCAAGUGAUACUGCUGUGCUAGAGUGCGGAGGAGGCAACCGGAAUUCUUGGUGUAGCGGUGAAAUGCGUAGAUAUCAAGAGGAACACCUGAGGCGAAGGCGGGUUGCUGAGCCGACACUGACGCUGAUGCGCGAAAGCCAGGGGAGCAAACG
rnacentral:rRNA from 1 species